rnacentral:rRNA from 1 species
UGGCUCAGAACAACGCUGGCGGCAUGCCUAACACAUGCAAGUCGAACGAGACCUUCGGGUCUAGUGGCGCACGGGUGCGUAACGCGUGGGAAUCUGCCCCUUGGUUCGGAAUAACAGCGAGAAAUUGCUGCUAAUACCGGAUAAUGACGUAAGUCCAAAGAUUUAUCGCCAAGGGAUGAGCCCGCGUAGGAUUAGCUAGUUGGUGUGGUAAAGGCGCACCAAGGCGACGAUCCUUAGCUGGUCUGAGAGGAUGAUCAGCCACACUGGGACUGAGACACGGCCCAGACUCCUACGGGAGGCAGCAGUGGGAAUAUUGGACAAUGGGCGAAAGCCUGAUCCAGCAAUGCCGCGUGAGUGAUGAAGGCCUUAGGGUUGUAAAGCUCUUUACCCGGGAUGAUAAUGACAGUACCGGGAGAAUAAGCUCCGGCUAACUCCGUG